UGCAAGGUUAUUUUAGGAAUUUCAAUAGAAAUAUCACAUAAAAUUAAGAUAAAAAAAGUGCUCUUAAUAAGUGUGCAAAUAUCAAUAGCUUUAUUUCACAUAACAGUUUUUAUGCUUUAUUUCAUAUCAAUAGCAUAAUCUUAUUGUACAUAAUAAUAAGGUCCGUAAAAUUUUAAAAGCUAAAAAAAAAUUAAAUUAUUGGGAGCCAUCACAAUAACUAUAUAACAACUCAUAGAAAUUAAAUUAUUGGGAGCUAAUAUGUGGUGCUUGAUAAUUAAUAACGACAUACACACACACUUUUACGACACCUCGGUUGAGCAGGAAAUUCGCAAUUAACUUCCUUUAUACAAUCACCAUCAUAAACACAUUGAACGUUCCCUGUAAUGUAAAAAGAGAGAAAAUAAUUAAUUUUACUAAAAUGGAAUAAAUUAUUGAAGUAAAGAAGAAAUUUUUUCAAAGGAGAUAAAAAUGCUUACAUCUAGAGCUUGUUGCAACAAGAAACAGGGAAAGAAGGAUAUUCAUAACAAAAACAAAGUUCACAAAUUUAGCCAUAUUUUCCAACUUUUGCAUGUAUCAAAUAGAAUAUGAUUUAUCACUUCUUAAUUUAUAAAACUUAUAUUCUCCUUAUACAUUAAUUAAAUAGUUUUUUGCACUUACAAAG
rnacentral:lncRNA from 1 species